UUGCUUUGGCAGCACAUAUACUAAAACUGGAAUGAUACAGAGUAGAUUAGCAUGGCCCCUGCACAGAGGUGAGAUGCAAAUUCGUGAAGCGUUCCAUAUUUUU